AGUUCAAUGUAACAGCGAUAGGUUUAGGCUACUACAUGAUACUCAAAUUUUCCCAUUACCCAUCAUGAGGUGGCUACAACCUAGCCUCUGAAUGAAAGUUUACAAUAUAGGUGUGCACACAGGUCGAGAGACACAUUUGAGGUGAAAGACAACAGCAUCCAGUACGGCCUUGCACACUCUUGCCUGCAUCUAGCUGAUAUAGGGGGGGAUCAUUAGUCCAACAGUUGCAAACAGGAGUUUCUAUUCGCCAAAUUCAGGUCUGCAGGGUCAUCAGAGUCCAGGUCCAAGUCAGCGGGGUCAUCUACUUCUGGGUUUAACCCUGUGGAAGCCGGGCCUCUUUGGAGCGGAGAGGUCAGGGAGAGGUUAAAGGAAGUUAACCCGCCUCCGGCUCGAAAUCUGCUACCACCCUGAGGAUGCCCACAGCCACAAUGGCUGCGAGUCCCAGGGUUGGAGAUUGUGAUGAGGACGGUCGUCUGGGCGAGUUUGGGCAGCAGAGACCCGCAGGCGUGUGAACAAAAUCAAUUUGCAUAUUUACCAAAGGGCCCCAGGGGACUGGUAGUCUUGACAAAUAGUUCAGGGGCAGCGCUCUGUCUCUCCUUCUCGCCCAUCCAAAUCAGAACUAAUCAAUGAAUUAUAAAGGGUAAAGAAAAAAAGGACCAUACGUCAGGACUACCGGGCAUGAUGACUCCUUGCUGUCCCCAGUCC